UAUACCUAUACCUAUACCUACCUACCUACCUAUACUAAUUACAGACUUCCUGGAAAUUACAACAUUAAUUAGUAAAUUAGAGCCGUUAAUCCGGUGGGUCCGAAUUAUAACGGUGCAGAUUAGCUAAGAAUUACCACAUUAAUCCAUAAAAGGGUCACCUUUUUUUGUUAAAAAAAAGGCUCACGAGAUCAUAUUCCACCAGCCCUUCCUCAUUCUUUCUCUCCACGCAAAGUGAAAAUAUUCCACCGUCCCUUUGUCUCACCCAUGAAAAAAAACUAUUCCCCUAUGCCUUCCUCUCCGUAAUUUCUCUCUCCCCCAUGGAAGUAUUCCAUCCAUCGUCCCUUCCUCUCUCUCCCCCGUUGAAACUAAAGCUAUUGCUAACUCAAACUAAUGCAAGCAAGUUGGGCCAAGGAUCUGCCGUGGUGAAGGGGUUACUGCCUUAAAUUUGUUUUCUUCAUCUAGAUCUGGUUCGUAUUGGUUAAAAUUUGUUUUACUUUUUUUUUCUUGCCGGUUUACCAUCCUAUGUUUUCUUCUGGAUUCUAAUUCAGCUAUUUUUAGUCCUGUUGUUUGAUUGUGUUGUGCAGGAAUUCACCUAUUUAGGUUUUCUUCACUGGAUUUAGAUUGAACCCUGAAUCUUCUCCCGUAAUUUUUUUGGAUACCUCAUGAAGAUCGAUUCAGAGCCUAGCUAUGACCAUCAGGCGAGCCUAUAAUUAGAACUAUCAAACAUUAACUUCAAAAGAGCCUCAAGUUGGUUGUUUUUGUACCCAUGCGUGUGAUCCAUAGGAGCACCCCACAACAGGACAUGGAGCAGGCCAUUUCUAGCGGACUCCCCAGUAGAGCAUCUUCUGAGAAGGGCCACGAUAUUUGAUGGGCAGUGAACUCGAUUUUCAUCAGAGAAGAAGCAAGUCUGUAUUUUUGUCAGAGUCUCAGGGGGAAGAAGUCUACAGAGUACACAAUUCUUACAUAACUGAUUUGGGGAAUUUCCAUGUUACACAUGGUCAUCCACAGAUGUAGUUGUUGAGCAACUAUCUUAUCAUUCAAUCAUAUAAGGAACUCAGCCUCCCAAUUGUCUAUUUCAUUAGUCAAGGGACCAGUACGGUUGUGCUAAUGGAGGUAAGUCAAAAUACUAUAUUCAACCUUCGGUACCUCCAUGGCAAAAGAAGGCUAUAGAGAAGAGGCAGCAGAACGGGCCUGCUUAGCUAGCUUUAAGUUUUGUUCUGCAUCAUUAAGUUUUAAAAGAUUACCGAUUUACAACUAUGUUGACUUGAUAGCUACUAGCAUAUACGGGUCAUUGCUCCAUGUUUUCAAACAUGCAAGUGGCAUGUAUUCCAACAAUUAUCUGCAUAUGUAUGAAUCAAGGUAGGGAUGUGAUCUUGAAAGUAGUGGAAUACAGUAGAAGUUACCACAUUAUCUUGAAUAUCUUGGUUCUCUUGGUAGGAGCACCUGACAGUGAUGCAUGCCUUGCUCGAAUGUCCACAAAAUCAAGUUAAUGCAAUUGAUUACCCUGAGUAGAAUGAUUGAAUUGUUUCCUUCUAUGUAGAAGCUUAUAUUUAAUUAUUUUGAAUAAAUAAGAAAUUAUAUGAUUAUCAUGUUCUUUUAAGUCGGGGGUGCUCCGUUUAAAUCUAAGAGAUGAUAAUAUAGUGUUGUGUUAACUGAAGAAUGACUUAAUUUUUUGACCGGCAAAGUGUUGGUCGUGACUCAAUGGCAGCCAUUGAGUUGAUAAUUUAAUUUUACUACAAAGAUUUUUAUGAUGCAGCUACUUAUAAUUUUGUCUGUAUUUAAUUCUAUGGCUACGACUAUGUAUAUAUAACAAUGAGUACUGUAUAUGCUAUAAUUAUCAGUAAUUUUGUUUCGUAUGUAUCAUCAAUUCAUUUUUCUCAACUACUCUUUGAAACACAACUAUUCUUCCAAUCUUAUACUCCACUGGGAUGGAUGCGUGACGUGUGCUCAUCCGGCCAGAGGGAUCGACCAUGGCUAGCUUCUCCGAAUGCGUUCCACUCACGAAUGAACUUUGCUGCGUGUUCGUGUGUCAAAUCCCCUUUUUCGUGGAAUUGAGUUGAUGAGUUGGUCAACUAUGUUUUGUUCUUCUCUGGGAAUUGUAGGGUCUAGGAUUUGUAGGCAAACAUAGGAUGUGUUUGUGUUAGACAUGAAUUCAUAUGCAGAGUUGGUCAUAUGUGAUGUCGUUAGUUCUGUGAGAACGAACAGGUGUAGCUGUACUAUUGUGAUGAAAUACAUAAUUCUGUAGUCAAUGUUGGGAAUGACAUUCGCAGUCAGUAUCUAUAAUCCUAAACCUGAACAAUAGGUAUGGGAUCUCUGGAGUGUUCCGGUGGUGAAAUCUGCAGCAUGUACUCUUCAGUAAAUCAAAUUAUCCAUGUAUAAUUCCAUCUAAACACAAUUCUGUCACCUCUGAUUUUGGUUGAGGUCCAUAUACAACAGUCAUACAUUUGUAAAUGUCUGAAGUUCUGAACUAAAGAUAUGCUUGAUGUGAAAGGAAACCGAGAUUCUUUCUAUGGUA